CUCUUCCCACUGUUGUGGACAGAUGUAGUGAACGUGAGCGUCAAUACCACCGGCGGUGACAAUCAUCUUCUCUCCCGCAACGACUUCCGUCGCGCUUCCGACCACGAGAGAGGGGUGAACACCUUCCAUAACAUCUGGAUUACCCGCUUUGCCGAUUCCAACAAUUUUGCCGUCAAAGACUCCGAUGUCCGCCUGAAAAGAAGAAGGGAGUCAGUUGUUGCGUCAACCCGAGGAGGUUUCAAGUAGAGGACCUUGUAAAUUCCAGUCCAGUCGAUGAUGAGAGCGUUCGUGAUGACGAGGUCCAGGGACUGAUGUGCGGCUCGGUUGGUAGCUUGUCCCAUUCCUUCGCGAAGAG
rnacentral:sRNA from 1 species